rnacentral:rRNA from 1 species
GCAUAUCAAUAAGCGGAGGAAAAGAAACCAACAGGGAUUGCCUCAGUAACGGCGAGUGAAGCGGCAACAGCUCAAAUUUGAAAUCUGGCCUCACGGUCCGAGUUGUAAUUUGUAGAGGAUGCUUUUGGCGAGGUGCUUUCCGAGUUCCCUGGAACGGGACGCCAUAGAGGGUGAGAGCCCCGUACGGUAAGACCACCGAGCCUCUGUAAAGCUCCUUCGACGAGUCGAGUAGUUUGGGAAUGCUGCUCUAAAUGGGAGGUGUACGUCUUCUAAAGCUAAAUACCGGCCAGAGACCGAUAGCGCACAAGUAGAGUGAUCGAAAGAUGAAAAGCACUUUGAAAAGAGGGUUAAAAAGUACGUGAAAUUGUUGAAAGGGAAGCAUUCAUGACCAGACUUGGGCUUGGUUGAACAUCCGGCGUUCUCGCCGGUGCACUCUGCCAGUCCAGGCCAGCAUCAGUUUGCCCCGGGGGACAAAGGCGGUGGGAAUGUGGCUCUCUUCGGGGAGUGUUAUAGCCCGCCGUGUAAUGCCCUGGGGCGGACUGAGGAACGCGCUUCGGCACGGAUGCUGGCGUAAUGGUCAUCAAUGA